rnacentral:lncRNA from 1 species
UCUGCAUGUUGAGCUAUAUUUACGAAUGAUGUCCUUAUACCGAUGAUAAAAUUCAGUAAAUGUUUUGACUAGUUUGUGAUAUCGAAAGAUAUACAUAUACAAAGAAAACAUGAACCAAUAUAGCAAUAAACAUCAAUGGUAGUCAAUAGUGUAACAAUGUCAUACAAUCAGUAAAAAUAAGAAACUUUUAAUAUGAGCAUCAAAUAAGACAAAAACUGACAGAACUCAUCAAGUAGAAAGAAAUAAGUCUUUAGAAAACAACUACUAAGUAAUGGUAGAAUUACAAUGUUAACCAAGUAUAGCGGUGUGCUAAUUGGCAUGACCAGAAUAGUUUUAGUACAUCUAAAUCAAAUAGGUUCUUCUGUUCCGUGUGAUAAAACCAAGGAUUAUUCCG